GGAGAGUGGGGAGGGGCCCAGGGCACCCAUUUAGGUAUUAACAGUAAAUCAAGCCAUUAUUCAGCAAACACUGAGCAUAAAUCCUAUUAGCAUAGGAUUUAUGCCCUGUGACAUGCAGAGCAAUCAAACACAAUCCUGCUUUUCAGAAGUCUCUGUAUCCUGUAUCAUGGAGGAUGUGGAGAGAGAAACAAAUUAGUGUUUCAGGUGCUUGUAGAUGUCUGUAAGGGUCAAGUGAAGACUCCAAGGAGGGAGGAGUCAUUUAAACUUGAGGGAAGGUGUUCAGAGAACACUUCAUAAAGGUGAAGCCUUGAAAGAUAAGAGAAUGGUCAGGAGAAUGGAUUCAGGGGAUAGGAGAGGAAGAGAGGUGGGGGUGGCAUUCCUUGCAAAUGGAAUGCUAUGAACAAGAUCCAAGGACAUGUAGUUUUAUUCCACUUGGCCCUGAAAGCAUGAGGGGAGGGCCAGAGAGCGAUGAGGUCAGCCAGGCUGGCAAGCAGGGCUCUGUGCUGCCAUGCAAAGGAAUUUGGAUCAGCUGCUUGGCCAGUGGGGGAGUUUAAGCACAAGUGGGGGUGGUGACAUGAUGAAGUCACUCUGGCUGUGGUUUGAGGAAGGAUUAGAGGGUAAUGAGACCAGAGGCAGGGGGUCAGCAGGAUCAAUUUGGAAGCCAGUAGAGGGGUCCAGGUGAGAGAUGAAAAGGACCCAAACUAAGGCGGAGGUGGUAGGAUAAGCAGAGGGGAGGCCUACGGUUGGCAGGCUGGUGGUCAGCUUCAGGAGGCCCAGGGCCAGGAAAGGUCCUGAUUGUGUGGCAGCUCUCAGUCCUGUGAGACCUCAGUCCUAAAAGAACUGGACUACGGCCAAGAUCAAGGCAGGGAUUCAAAUACAAGUGAAAACAACAAGGUCCAGGUGCUGGAAGUGGGGCUUGGGAUCCUGAGUAUGAUGCUGAGGCGGCAACAUGGCAUAGUGGUCAUGAGCGCUGGCCCCUCUAUUUCCAGCUCUACCCUGACCAUCCUUGUGAACUUGACUAGAAGGUCUACCCCCUGAGCCUCAAUUUCCUUAUUUGUAAAAUGGGGAAAUCAUACCUCCCUCAUAAGGUUGUGUGGAAAUUGGAUAAGAUAGUAUGUGUAAAGGGCAUGGCACUGCAUGGUAGCUGUUGUUACCAUACAGAAGAUACAAGCUAGGUGCCUCGUACAAGCCCAUUGAGCAGAAAUGAGGCCCAAAGCCAGGUUCCAACAAUCAGAUCAUCUUAAAGUCAACUCUCCCGAGCUGCUGAAUGAGGCCCAGGACAGGGAAGGUUGCACUUGUCUUUGGAGGGAUUAAGUAAUCACAGCUUUGGGAAAGAAAUAGAAGGGGCAGGGACUUGGGCAGGCUAUUGUAUCAGUAGUCCUGCCUCCUGUCCAUCUAGUUAUAGACUCGUGCUUGCCCUGACCUCUGACAUCUGAAUGCCCCUUGAGCCCUGCCUCUUACUGCUUAAACCUAAGGCGUGUCACAGCCCAUUCCUGCCCCCUCUAAGUACAGGGGAGGCUGCUAGGAGCCCAGGAGGUAGUCAGGAGUCCAGGUGCCUACUCUGGCCCCAGUGUGUCUGCUCUUCCUGCCAACAUCUUGGGAAGAGAAGAGCCCUAUGGGGCAGACCCAAAUGCAUGCGUGCCUGCUGCUCUGCUGACACCACCAGUGUCUUCAGUGAAGGGGGGGAUGGGCACGAUCAGUGCAAGGUUGGCCAAGAGCCUGGGCUGGCCUUCUGCUGGGGAAGGGCAAGCUGGCACGAGGAGGCCAGACUGCCCUCAGUUCCUUCCUCAGGUCCCAGUUCCUCUGGCAGCGGGGAAGGGUGAGCUCAUCUCUGAGCUCCAUCCCAAACAAAGGCGGCCACUAGAGCCAGCGGAAGGCAGCUCUGCUUCCUGGGGUUCAGUCCUGCACAGCUCUGCUCCUGGCCUGUUCAUUAACCUGGGAAAAGCUGCUCAGGCCACCAUCUAUGACCUGUCUCUUCCUCAGGGGGGCCUCACAGGGAUCUCAGCUGGGAAGGAACAGGGCUCUCAGCACCUGGGCUGGGCUCCCUCCCCAGCACAGCUUAGUGAAUCCUGCUGACUUUGCAUUGGAGAGAAAUGGGGACACAGGAUGCCUGGAAGCAGCCUUCAAAAACAGCUGAAAGCACUUUUUACAACAGCCAAGAUAUGGAAGCAACCUAAGUGUCCAUCUGUAGAUGAAU